UUUGGGGGUUUUUUUUGGUUUGUUUUUAUAGGUGUUUCCACCCCGCUCGAUUGAACGCUGGCGGCAGGCCUAACACAUGCAAGUCGAGCGGUAGAGAGAAGCUUGCUUCUCUUGAGAGCGGCGGACGGGUGAGUAAUGCCUAGGAAUCUGCCUGGUAGUGGGGGAUAACGCUCGGAAACGGACGCUAAUACCGCAUACGUCCUACGGGAGAAAGCAGGGGACCUUCGGGCCUUGCGCUAUCAGAUGAGCCUAGGUCGGAUUAGCUAGUUGGUGAGGUAAUGGCUCACCAAGGCGACGAUCCGUAACUGGUCUGAGAGGAUGAUCAGUCACACUGGAACUGAGACACGGUCCAGACUCCUACGGGAGGCAGCAGUGGGGAAUAUUGGACAAUGGGCGAAAGCCUGAUCCAGCCAUGCCGCGUGUGUGAAGAAGGUCUUCGGAUUGUAAAGCACUUUAAGUUGGGAGGAAGGGCAGUUACCUAAUACGUAUCUGUUUUGACGUUACCGACAGAAUAAGCACCGGCUAACUCUGUGCCAGCAGCCGCGGUAAUACAGAGGGUGCAAGCGUUAAUCGGAAUUACUGGGCGUAAAGCGCGCGUAGGUGGUUUGUUAAGUUGGAUGUGAAAUCCCCGGGCUCAACCUGGGAACUGCAUUCAAAACUGACAAGCUAGAGUAUGGUAGAGGGUGGUGGAAUUUCCUGUGUAGCGGUGAAAUGCGUAGAUAUAGGAAGGAACACCAGUGGCGAAGGCGACCACCUGGACUGAUACUGACACUGAGGUGCGAAAGCGUGGGGAGCAAACAGGAUUAGAUACCCUGGUAGUCCACGCCGUAAACGAUGUCAACUAGCCGUUGGGAGCCUUGAGCUCUUAGUGGCGCAGCUAACGCAUUAAGUGACCGCUGGAGACGCCGACAUGU
rnacentral:rRNA from 1 species